AGGAAUUUAUAGCUAAUGAAGGUGGUGGAGAGGCACCUUUGGAGGGAUCAAUCCCGGACAUGACAUCUUCUACUGAGUUAUAUGUAAACCUGCAAAAGAUCUACCAGGCUAAGG